GUCUUGAGUGCCAUCUCGUAGCCGCGCAGGCUCUCGAUCUCUUUAUAGAUCCCAUCAUCGUCGUCGAAUGAUCCCCACCUGAUUAUUCGAAGACUCAACUUCUUAACUGAGGUAGAAGAGUUCGUAAUGGUAAGAGUUGAACACCAGAACAUCAGCGUCAGUCCAAUGCCGCGCAUGCUUCUGGAUUGAUUGCGCCCGAACGGUCCUGUCUGGUACCCGGUGAUGGACGGGAUCGUCGGAGUUCGACUCCACCAGCAACGGCGACCAAUAGAAAUCGAUCGAUGCAUUGUAAUCCUGUUGUGCAUGCACAACAGGAACAUGUUUAUGUGCUAAGAUCAAAGUUAGGGUGAAUUUUUACACACGCAUAUAUUUAUAUACCAUGAUUUUAAAUGA